GAAAAUGUCAUUGACUGGCUAGGAAAAUGGUGGCCAACAUGCGUAAUGCGACAUGCGCGAGGACAGAAACUUCAAAGCUUCCGACGUAAGUGGCCCUUCUAUAUGGAUCUUUAUUCUAUGACAACACUAUUGCGACAACCUGAAUAAUUUUUGGACUUUAUUAUGUAGAUCGAGUCUCGCACACCGCUGACGAAGAAACCAAGCAACAAGAGCAUGACAGGUGGUGUGGACUAUAGUUUUAAUAUCCAAAGGUCGACUGCGAUGGACAAUGAAGAGCACGAGGAUUACUAUUGGUCUGAUAAUGAGUGAAGAAAAAAUUCUUUCUUGACUUGAGAUUAAACGUUAUUUAGGCAAUUGUAUAUAGUAGCCAUAGGCAUAGCACGGUUUAGGUCUAAUCAGUGCAGCAUUAAUUUAAUACUCGUAAAAUAGAAAGAGUUUUAAUAUGGAAGUAACUCUGUGACGAUAGCUAAAUAUUAAAGCACUUUGAAAUAAAUGGUAUUGUUGUUGUUAAUAAUUAACAUGCACUUAUUUGAUAUCCACUUAGAGGGCUGUUUAACAUUAUUCUACGAAGUCGAGUCGAAUAUGAGCCGAUAGCUGACCGCUCAUAUUCGACAUGAGCUCCACCUUUGAAUUUACGUAAAUUGUUAAACACGUCCGAAAUUAUCGACACGGCCUGAAAACAGACCUACGUUUCGCGACCCGCGAAUUUUAGGGCGGGCGAUAAAAUCGCGACACAUAUUGAACCCUAACCAUGUUCCCCGAUAAUCACCUCGCCUUCGGCGAAUAAUUGUUAAAUAUCCUGCUAGUAGAGAACCAAUCAGAUUGCAGAAUACCUCAUAUCCAGACCUUGUGUAUAUAAUAAUUGAUGUGAGUAAAAUAAAGCAAUUUGGUUGGCUAAUUUAGUCAUGAAUUGUUAAUGAGUUGAGAUAAUCAGUGUAAGGCCCCGUUUACAUGAGGACGGAACGAAGUCAAACCGGGACCAUUUCGUUUCGGUCAUAGUAUUAUUUAUAAUAGAUGUUUACAUGAGACCGGAAACCGGUCACCGGCAGAGGGUCACCGGUAUCAAGUCAUUCCGCCUGCUGGACCGAACCGACUGACUUCAGACCGGCAUGAAUUCAGACCGGGAUGAAUGUAAACACAAAUAUAUUUCAGAUCGGUCUCGGCUGUAACCUUGACAUUGGAACAACACAUGCUAGCAAAAGCUACCUAAAAACGAAAAUUGCUUGGCAAGGGGAAUAUAUUGAAAAUUUUGUGAUUUUCGUACCUGUCUCAUGUAAACAUGUUGAUAAUUUUAAUUUUCAUUCCGGUUUGACUUCGUCCCGGUCUCAUAUUAAAGGCGCCUAAAAGUGAUGUGCAUGCAGCAGAUGGUGGUCAACUUCAGAAAUGUUGCCAAGUACAGGGGCAAGGAAAAUAAACUUAAUAUCCACUUAUUUUUCAUCAAACAGAACAGUCUGGACCUCUACUCUCUGGCGCUACCUUUACACUACAGCGGAUACCUUUCCGUAGUGGCGUGAAAAAGCACCUAUCCGAUACGAAAUGUACAACUUUCAGAAGCUGAGCGAAACAACAUCUCUCCGUUGGAAUAAUAGACCUUUCCCCUUUUAAGUGAAAUUUUGAUCUAGACAAGUCUGGACAAAAAUUUCAUCACAGCUUGAAAGAGCAUCGCAAAAUUAGUAAUAUUCCGAAGUUUCGUUGCAAAAUGUUGUAAAAUGCGGA
rnacentral:lncRNA from 1 species